rnacentral:rRNA from 1 species
CCUACGGGUGGCAGCAGUGGGGAAUAUUGGACAAUGGGCGAAAGCCUGAUCCAGCCAUGCCGCGUGUGUGAAGAAGGCCUUCGGGUUGUAAAGCACUUUCAGUGGGGAAGAAAGCCUUGGGGCUAAUACCCUCGAGGAAGGACAUCACCCACAGAAGAAGCACCGGCUCACUCCGUGCCAGCAGCCGCGGUAAUACGGAGGGUGCGAGCGUUAAUCGGAAUUACUGGGCGUAAAGCGCGCGUAGGCGGUCUGAUAAGCCGGUUGUGAAAGCCCCGGGCUCAACCUGGGAACGGCAUCCGGAACUGUCAGGCUAGAGUGCAGGAGAGGAAGGUAGAAUUCCCGGUGUAGCGGUGAAAUGCGUAGAGAUCGGGAGGAAUACCAGUGGCGAAGGCGGCCUUCUGGACUGACACUGACGCUGAGGUGCGAAAGCGUGGGUAGCAAACAGGAUUAGAUACCCCUGUAGUC